GCCUAAAGCGUCCGUAGCCUGUUUUGUAAGUUUUCGGUUAAAUCCAUACGCUCAACGUAUGGGCUGCCGGAAAUACUGCAAAACUAGGGAGUGGGAGAGGUAGACGGUACUCGGGAGGAAGGGGUAAAAUCCUUUGAUCUCUCGAUGACCACCUGUGGCGAAGGCGGUCUACCAGAACACGUUCGACGGUGAGGGAUGAAAGCUGGGGGAGCAAACCGGAUUAGAUACCCGGGUAGUCCCAGCUGUAAACGAUGCAGACUCGGUGAUGCACUGGCUUGUGGCCAGUGCAGUGCCGCAGAGAAGUCGUUAAGUUUGCCGCCUGGGAAGUACGUACGCAAGUAUGAAACUUAAAGGAAUUGGCGGGGGAGCACCACAAGGGGUGAAGCCUGCGGUUCAAUUGGAGUCAACGCCAGAAAUCUUACCCGGAGAGACAGCAGAAUGAAGGUCAAGCUGAAGACUUUACCAGACAAGCUGAGAAGUGGUGCAUGGCCGUCGCCAGCUCGUGCCGUGAGGUGUCCUGUUAAGUCAGGUAACGAGCGAGAUCCCUGCCUCUAGUUGCCACCAUUGCUCUCAGGAGCAGUGGGGCGAAUUAGCGGGACUGCCGCAGUUAAUGCGGAGGAAGGAGGGGGCCACGGCAGGUCAGUAUGCCCCGAA
rnacentral:rRNA from 1 species